UACGUGAGGGGCGAACGUUGUUCGGUGUUCACUGGGCUUAAAGGGUGCGUAGGUGGUUGCGUAAGUAAGGUGUGAAAUCCCGUCGGCUUACCCGGGGAAUUUGCAUUUUAAUACUGCGUGGCUUUGAGGGACGUAAAGGGGGAAAAGGGAAACUUCAGGUGUAGCGGUGGAAAAUGCGCAGAUAUCUGGGGAAGGCGGCGGCGAAGGCGCUUUUCUGGUAGUACCUGACACUGAGGCACGAAAGCGUGGGGAGCAG
rnacentral:rRNA from 1 species